GGCGGCUUAGCUCAGUUGGCUAGAGCAUACGGUUCAUACCCGUAGUGUCCAGAGUUCGAAUCUCCGAGCCGCCA
rnacentral:tRNA from 1 species